rnacentral:misc_RNA from 1 species
UCGACUGCAGUGACUUCGUUCCGAUCGUUUUCGGAUCAAUUGUAUGAAUUGUAAAAAGUUUUGUUAAAUUUAGAAGCACUCCAUAGGAACACCUAAAUAUUAAUAUUAGAUUGAAUUUCUUCUAUAAUCAAAAAAUAAAAAGUAGUUAAACAUGGCAUUUGCAGGAUUAAGGAAACAAAUUAAUAAAGCUAAUCAGUAUAUGAGUGAGAAAAUUGGAGGAGCAGAAGGCACAAAAUUUACUGAUGAAUAUAUGGAAAUGGAAAGGAAAACAGAUCUUACAAAUGAAUUGGUCGAAGAAUUAAUUGUGAAAACAAAAGAAUAUCUUCAACCCAACCCAACAUCCCGAGCAAAAUUAACUGUUAGCUCUAAACUUAGAGGUGGAGCUAAAGUUCAUGCUUAUCCCCAACCUGAAGGAAUCCUUGGUGAAACAAUGAUUAAAUUUGGAAAAGAUUUAGGAGAAGAGUCUGCAUUUUCUACAAGUUUAAUAGAAGCAGGAGAAGGCUUGAAGCAAAUGGCAGAAAUUAAAUAUGCCCUUGAAGAUAAUGUAAAACAAAAUUUUCUGGAACCACUUCAUCACCUGCAGUCGAAAGAUUUGAAAGAUGUUAUGCAUCAUCGAAAAAAACUGCAAGGCAGAAGACUCGAUUUUGAUUGUAAGAAACGAAGACAGGCUAAAGGAUCACCCUUACAACCUCGAAAAUCUGGAACACACGUCAGUGAAGAAGAAAUAAAACUAGCUGAAGAUAAAUUUGAAGAAUCUUUUAAUUUGGCUUCUAUGGGAAUGUAUAAUCUUUUAGAUAAUGAUAUAGAACAAAUAUCUCAAUUAGCUGCUCUAACUGAAGCUCUUUAUGAAUAUCACAAUCAAUGUGCUGAAAUUUUACAAACAGUUUCUGAAAGAUUGGCAGAACAGAAGAAUAAUGCAGACAGUCGUCCUCGAGAAGCAUAUCAACCAAAGAAACUUUAUGAAUUGAACAUCCCCGAUUUAGCCAGGACUCCUGUUCGUCAACAUCCUUGUUGUCAAGCACUGUAUGACUUUGAACCUGAAAACGAGGGAGAACUAGCCUUCAAGGAAAGUGAUAUUAUCAAUUUAUUAAAUCGGAUCGAUGAAAAUUGGUACGAGGGAACGAUCAAUGGCCGCACAGGUCUCUUUCCAGUCAAUUAUGUCCAGGUCCUUGUACCAUUGCCAUAAAAUGUUACAGAGAUAACAUCAGAGAAAUUAUCAGUGAAAUGUUAAGCAGAUGAGAGAUGAUGAUUUAAGAUCUUGCUUUUUACAUGCCAAAGAUUUGUAUAGAUUUUAUUAAGUUCCCUAGAAUAUGUUGCUGUGACAGAACAUAUUGGAUUGUUUCAGAGGAAUGAUGAGAUUUUGCAACUGCAUUUGCACCAAGAUUCUAUAAAUUAUAACUCAAGAAUAAAGAUUAGGAAACCAAACACUUUAUUUUUGCAGCGUUCGGCAUUAUAUUUUUGUUCAAAUUCAGAAUCGACAUAUUUUUUUUUGUUGUUACUUAUUUCUUAAUUAGUAUAAAACCCUUAUCACUAAUGAACUGAACAUAAGUUUGUAAAACGGCAGUAUUUAUGGUAACUUUUACUUUGUCUGACAUUGUUAUUUUUAUUUAUGUCCAUCAGUAUCUGCAAUGAAUUCAGAAGACCGAAAAGUAUUUUUGUACAGUAUGAUUGUUACAAUGUAGAUUUAUUGAAAAGUUAGUUUAUUAUUAUUAUUUUUUUUUUUAAGUUUUGUGCCAUAAUCUAUCCUCUCCAUUUAUAAUUUUGCAGGGAAUAUUUAUUUAUAUCUGGAGUCAGUAGUGGUCUUGAUUAUUGUUAUUUGCCAAUUAAACAGAAGUCUUCUCUCAUCUGCUGCAAUUUUCAACUAAAAAUUAUAAAAAAAAAAGAAGAAAAAGAAAAAAAAAAGCACAAACCUGUUUUAUAUUUGUACAUUUACAAAACAAAAAAAUAUUUGGCAUUUGAAAAAAUAUAAAAGGUGGUGGUUACCUUCUGUCCAACAUUUACGAAGGUUAAAGGCUAUAAUAUAAUAAUUCAAUACAUAUUAUUACGACUCCAGCAAGGAAACUUUCAUAAGUUAUCAUGAAUUCCUACUUUGCUACCCUGUUUGCUGCUAUGGCCAUCUUUUAUCUUUUGCCUUAUGCCACGAGUGGGGAAAAAUGCCUUGAAUGGGGUGAAGGAUGCAUAUAUGACAACGAAUGUUGUUCGACAAAAUGCAGAAAAGUCGAAAAUAUCGUUUGUAUAAGAGCGCCUUGUGGAACCGAGUGUGUUGAAUGUAUACCGUUUUAUAAAGUGGAAAUUUGUUUACGUAAAAACAGCGAUAAAAUUUAUAUAUUUCCAAAAUACGAAAAUUAAUUAAAUGUCUUGCUUUCUGUACGUAUGUUGUGAUUAUUAAUUAAAAUAAAUUUUAAUUAUUACAAGAA